CUUUGGCUUUAGGGGUAUUCUGAAAAAGAAUUGAGAGAGUCCCUUUGAACCUGACACGGUUAAUACCGUCGUAGGGAAAAGCGUAGCAAUACUA
rnacentral:ncRNA from 2 species